rfam:Felis catus isolate Cinnamon breed Abyssinian chromosome B2, whole genome shotgun sequence.
GCCUGGGUGGCUCAGUCAGUUAAGCGUCUGACUUCGGCUCAGGUUGUGAUUUCAUGGUUUGUGAGUUUGAGCCCCACCUUAGGCU